CACGAUAAAAACAUGACAAGAAAAGUAAAUGUCACAUAAGAGGAAAGGAUUCUGGCAGCAGCUUUCUGGAUUUUUUUCCUUUCUUUUACAGAGGCCUGUAUGAAAAAUAUUGAAAUUGUCUAACCUACUGAAUUUUUAUUUUUAAACCGGUUUUUAUGUCCUCUUUAGACUAGGGUGACCAGACGUCCCCGAUUUCCGGGGACAGUCCCCGUUUUAGAUGGCCUGUCCCCGGCUGAAGCGGUCCCCGGAAAAGUCCCCGAUUUUAGCGUUUUAUGAAUGAGGGGAAAAAAAGUUUCCUCUAGAUUGUUAUUACGGUAGCCGGAGACUCCAUAUGACAGGGAGUAGAAAGCGCGAGUGAGCGUGUUGCGCGCAACAGCAGCAGUUACGGUAGCCGCUCGCGCUACUGUUGACGUUCCAGAGAAGAGCAGCAGAGCGAACAGCCAAUAAAAAUCAAGAAGAGCAGCGCGCGCUGCCAGGAAGGACAACAAGCUGUAAGAGGAGAGCUGGAGUUUUGAGCAGCUUCCAAGGGAACUGACCUGUGAUAUGUGGCAGACUGAUAAAAUGUGAGACAGGAGGAAAAUAUCCUGAUAAACUGAAUGAAUGAAGAAAACAGGAAAACUGACAAAGCUGGAGAGAAAUAUGAAAUAUAAACAUUAUUAUUAUUUAAUUGUGUCUUAUAUGUUGUAUUUUAAGUGUUUCUCUUUGCUAUCACCUGUGGUGUUUUCAGUUUUUCACAUAAUCUUUUCUGCUCUUAUUCUAUCCAGACCUCUAUGAUCAUGUGGCUGAUGGCUCUUCAGACCCAGGAGGGUUUGCAGAUCCAGAGAUGAGCUCAUGUUGGUGGACUUCCUGACCAGAGUUCACUCAUCUCAAACACACACAGUGUCCUUACAUAUCAGCUACAUAACUUUACACACACACCUCCUGUAUUUAUGGACAGUUAUGUGUCCAUUCAUGCACAACAUUCACAGGUGGACGAAGUUGUUGGUGUCUUCUGUUAAUGACUGAAAAACCCAAAGUGGCACUGAAACAACUUGACACAAACAAAA